rnacentral:rRNA from 1 species
UACAGAGGUCCCGAGGCGUUGUUCGGAUUCAUUGGGCGUAAAGGGUGCGUAGGCGGCGGGGAAAGUCUGAUGUGAAAUCCGUGGGGCUCAACCCUGGAACUGCAUUGGAUACUUCCUUGCUAGAGUACUGGAGAGGAACUGGAAUUUACGGUGUAGCAGUGAAAUGCGUAGAGAUCGUAAGGAAGACCAGUGGCGAAGGCGAGUUUCUGGACAGUUACUGACGCUGAGGCACGAAGGCCAGGGGAGCAAACGGG